GACACUUUGGCCGAGUGGUCAAGGCGAUCGCCUGCUAAUUAUGGUAAUUCAUAAGAGUGAAGCGGUUGGGGUUUCCCCGCGUGUGUUCGAAUCGCACAGGUGUCG